GCAGCAUAGGUUGUGCUAAGCUAUUUCAUUUUGAGAAAAAAAAAGAAAGCAUGUUAUGUGAUAAACGCUCAUAAAUCCCAGUCAUGAUUAAUGGAAGCGGAGAUAAGUGAUCUGACCCUUGCAGUUAGAUCUGUUUCCGCUGUGAUUUUCUCUGAUGGCCCAUUGUCUCCAGAACCCCCUUCCUGUCCCAGUUGCAUGUUACAGUAUAGGCAGAUGGCAGGGGACAAAGUUCCAUCAAGCAGAAAAUGAUACAAGAUCACGUCAUCUUAUCAUCCUGAGCCUCUGUGAGCUGUUUCUGCAGCCCAGCCUUGCUAGCGCAGCUUGAGUGGAUAUCUCAAACUUUCCUUAUUAAAACCCAAACAGAGUUGAAGCCUCACUUGAAUGGAGUCUGUGUUUGCACUGAGAAAGAGUGGAUGUAGCAGACAGAAGAAAGUGAAGCAGAAGUGAGAGAGAAACCACUACAGAUCAUCUUUCUG